ACCUGGCUGGCUCAUUUGGUAGAGUGUGUGACUAUCAAUCUCAGGAUCAUGAGUUCAAGCCUCAUGUUGGGCA
rfam:Canis lupus familiaris chromosome 16, whole genome shotgun sequence.